AUGAUUAAUGAGCCAAGUUCACCUUUACCUAGGAUGCACCUGCAGGAGCGUCACCACUGUGGAGCUGUGGGGACGCUGCAGCGGUGUGGCUGCUCAGAAAUGAUAGUGGAAAUGGAGGACUUCUGCUUCAAUGAACACAUUUUUUUCCUGUGUGUAUUUGAACUUCCAUGUUUUGGAUCAUAUUACUCCAGCAGAGCUCAUCAGGGUUGUCAAGAUAUUGGCACAUCUGUACUUGAUGACCACUCCCCUGCUGUGAUUGGCAACCAAAAUGAAUUCCUUCAUUGACAGAUGUGUAUCACUGUGCGCCAAUAAAAGAACAGUGCCAAUAGAGGGAUUGACAGUGUGAUAGAGGUGGAAACGGAGGGGGGAGAGGAGAAAUGAUGUCACAUAGUUUGUGGUGUGGCGAGUGUGAAACGGCGUGCUGUGAUGUUCCGAAUGUGAGAAGUUAGAGUUCAGGAGGCAGACAUCUGUGGUGGAACUCACCUCGAGGUGUGUCCUCCAGUGUUUUCGAGGUCCGUUUCUCUGCUAGAGUUCAGUCCCACUCGGCCAGAUAUUUUGACACAAAGACACGUGAACUGAGGAGAACAGCCAGGAUGCCUCAGUGCAUCUGAGGCCCAAAGGAGGAGAGCAGACUGGGAGAAGGGCUGCGGUCUAGAGAUACUGGUCCAUCCAUCACACAUGUCCUGACCUUAGUGUGACCCCAAUAUGGCAGCCAAUGAGGCGCCUUCACCCCCUAAAGAAAGGCCCCCCCAACACACACUCACACAGGAUCAGAUGACACUAAGAGGAGUCUGGAUGCUCUCUGUGUUGCCUAUUGUUGUUUCCCCGAUCUUUUGUUUUUUACAUGACUAAUGUGAGUACGAACACCUGACAGACAAGCUGUUCAUUCCCUCCCUCUUUCUCUCUGUCUGCCACUCACACGUACACGCGCUUGUAUGAUCGUCUUAUCUUAAAAGCGGUAUAAUUUUUGAUUAUACGUUAUAUAUAGUAGAACACUAUACUAUAGUAUACUUUUAAUAUUACAACAAGAAGCUAGAGUGCAAAUAGAAACUCAUUCAUGUACAUUUAGGAGGUCCAAAUCUUUUCACAUUCAUAUCAACCACAACCCUGAAAAACUUAUAGGGUGUUACUAAAUGUCUGAAACAACAUGAUCAUGUUGAUUGGUGGACAUGUGGGUCUGUGCAUACUGUCCCAAGUUCAUUUUUACAGAUAAGUGAGCUGAGCCUGUCCAUCAGUUCCAGGUAAAGAGUGUCCUGGAGAUAACCUUGGACUGCCUGGAAUUACUGCACCUCAAGCCACUGUAAAGAUCUGGGAAGAAUCAUCUCAAGGGUUUGAUUGUUUCUAUUGACGUGGUGCAAUAAACAAAUGUCACUCCUGAGUCACUCCAUUUGGCUUCCGAAAAACUCUCUGCUGGCAGUAGCUCUGAGCUUGGCUGGUACCAGGGUUAAAGGGUUGGAAUGAUAUUGGUGAUAUACAGUCAAAUUAGCAUUAAUGUCCCACCCUUCGAUUGAAGUGCAAUGUUUGAUGAUGUUAAUGCUCACUGAAAAUAUGUUUAUAUUAUGUUAUAUAGAAUUGUCUAACCCUUUCCAAAGUUUUAAAAAUAGUUUACCCUGUAAUGUUGUGUCAUACACCCAACUGCAGUUUUCGAUAUUUCUUUGAAGAACUCAGCAAUUGUCCUACACAAAAAAGAUAAAAGAAUUAAUAUAAAUGACAGUCUCAUGUGUCACAAAGAUUAGCACAAAAACCCCAACUACUUGUCAAUAGGGUAAGGUAGCGUUUUUGAUAUAAAGUGCUUGGGCUUUUUGUCAGGUGAAGCAGACCAUAGAGAUAUGCAAAUAUGCACAGGCAAACAACUCCAGGGCAGAAAGGGCAAGAUUUCAGCAUUUCACAUUAAACAUGUCAGUGUGUCAGACAGAGAGAGACUCUGCUCAGGGCAAUGCAUAGAGGUCAGUGAACUGAGUUGACAUCAUUUUACCUGCAAACCACCUGUCAAUCUUCCCAAAGGAAGAGUGAUGGUAGUCACGAGCGUUUUGACAGAUGACCAACAGAAACACAGUGCGGGCAGGACAAAGAGCAAAUUGCACUUUCAAUGACCCAAAUAUGGAUCCAUCAACUCAGCUUGAUAUCUGAUGAAAAAACGUAAAAAAAAAAAAAAAAUCCAGAAUUUCCAGAAAUUAUGUUUCAACAAUUAAAUGCCUCUGAGCCAUAAGAGUACCACUCACAUGGUUACAGAUCAUAACCACUUAAAUGAUUAAGUGCCAUUACACACAGUGUAAUGUGGUCAGAAACAUCCAGGAGAAAGCAGCUGCCUGUUAUUGUUGAAACCGGCAGAGCUGUUUCAGUGACAUGUAAGACUCAGAGUAAUUCUAAGCCUGUGGUUUGUUCACAGCCUGGGGACAGGGUGAAACUAUGCACUGAUGGGCUCUGUCUCCCAAGGCAAGAACAGUACAUAGAUUUGAAUCUGUACCACGUCAAAAUUGAAAACAGAAUGCCUUGAUUUAUGGCUUUGGUUCUUCAACAGUCCACUGUGGUAUUCUGGGUUAGAUAAUGUGUUCCUUAAUGAAUUUUAAAUGAGAAACUUGGCAGAAUUACAGGCAAAUUAGUUCACCUUACUGUUUACCACGAAGCAUUAGUGUUGACAGAUAAAAAUAAAUAUGAUCAGUCUUUGUGAAAGGCUGAGCCAGAUGAUUUUGAAAAAAAACAAAACCUUUUUGCAUGGCAGCACAUGUGAUUCCUUAUCUCUUAUAGCAUUUUCAAGUACCCAUUAUUUCUCAUUAAACUGAAGGCGUUUUCUUUUUUAAAUCUUCAUUCCACAUAUGCAACCAUUA
rnacentral:lncRNA from 1 species